GAUGAACGCUGGCGGCGUGCCUAAUACAUGCAAGUCGAGCGAACAGACGAGGAGCUUGCUCCUCUGACGUUAGCGGCGGACGGGUGAGUAACACGUGGAUAACCUACCUAUAAGACUGGGAUAACUUCGGGAAACCGGAGCUAAUACCGGAUAAUAUAUUGAACCGCAUGGUUCAAUAGUGAAAGACGGUUUUGCUGUCACUUAUAGAUGGAUCCGCGCCGCAUUAGCUAGUUGGUAAGUUAACGGCUUACCAAGGCAACGAUGCGUAGCCGACCUGAGAGGGUGAUCGGCCACACUGGAACUGAGACACGGUCCAGACUCCUACGGGAGGCAGCAGUAGGGAAUCUUCCGCAAUGGGCGAAAGCAUGACGGAGCAACGCCGCGUGAGUGAUGAAGGUCUUCGGAUCGUAAAACUCUGUUAUUAGGGAAGAACAAAUGUGUAAGUAACUAUGCACGUCUUGACGGUACCUAAUCAGAAAGCCACGGCUAACUACGUG
rnacentral:rRNA from 1 species